CCUACGGGGGGCAGCAGUGAGGAAUAUUGGUCAAUGGACGAGAGUCUGAACCAGCCAAGUAGCGUGAAGGAUGACUGCCCUAUGGGUUGUAAACUUCUUUUAUAAAGGAAUAAAACGAGGCACGUGUGCCUCUUUGCAUGUACUUUAUGAAUAAGGAUAGGCUAACCCCGUGCCAGCAGCCGCGGUAAUACGGAGGAUCCGAGCGUUAUCCGGAUUUAUUGGGUUUAAAGGGAGCGUAGAUGGGUUGUUAAGUCAGUUGUGAAAGUUUGCGGCUCAACCGUAAAAUUGCAAUUGAUACUGGCAGUCUUGAGUACAGUUGAGGUAGGCGGAAUUCGUGGUGUAGCGGUGAAAUGCUUAGAUAUCACGAAGAACCCCGAUUGCGAAGGCAGCUUACUAAACUGUGACUGACACUGAGGCUCGAAAGUGUGGGUAUCAAACAGGAUUAGAUACCCCUGUAGUC
rnacentral:rRNA from 1 species